rnacentral:tRNA from 1 species
GCUGUUGUAGUUCAGUUGGUAGAAUAGCGCAUUCGUAACGCGUAGGUCGCCGGUUCGAUCCCGGCCAACAGCUCCA